AUUGAACGCUGGCGGCAGGCCUAACACAUGCAAGUCGAGCGGAUGAGUGGAGCUUGCUCCAUGAUUCAGCGGCGGACGGGUGAGUAAUGCCUAGGAAUCUGCCUGGUAGUGGGGGACAACGUUUCGAAAGGAACGCUAAUACCGCAUACGUCCUACGGGAGAAAGUGGGGGAUCUUCGGACCUCACGCUAUCAGAUGAGCCUAGGUCGGAUUAGCUAGUUGGUGAGGUAAAGGCUCACCAAGGCGACGAUCCGUAACUGGUCUGAGAGGAUGAGCAGUCACACUGGAACUGAGACACGGUCCAGACUCCUACGGGAGGCGGCAGUGGGGAAUAUUGGACAAUGGGCGAAAGCCUGAUCCAGCCAUGCCGCGUGGGUGAAGAAGGUCUUCGGAUUGUAAAGCACUUUAAGUUGGGAGGAAGGGCAGUAAGUUAAUACCUUGCUGUUUUGACGUUACCAACAGAAUAAGCACCGGCUAACUUCGUGCCAGCCGCCGCGGUAAUAC
rnacentral:rRNA from 1 species